rnacentral:rRNA from 1 species
UACGUAGGGGGCAAGCGUUGUCCGGAAUCAUUGGGCGUAAAGCGCGUGUAGGCGGCCCGGUAAGUCCGCUGUGAAAGUCGGGGGCUCAACCCUCGAAUGCCGGUGGAUACUGUCGGGCUAGAGUGCGGAAGAGGCGAGUGGAAUUCCUGGUGUAGCGGUGAAAUGCGCAGAUAUCGGGAAGAACACCCGUGGCGAAGGCGGCUCUCUGGGACGGUACUGACGCUGAGACGCGAAAGCGUGGGGAGCGAACAGG